UUUCGGGUUGGACUGCCCGGCGCAAGCCGGCGGCCUCUCGGGAUUGGAUCCAAAGGCGGGUGUCGGAGGCGACCAUAAUGGCCAGGGACCGGCGUAUCCCGCUCGCCCUCGUGGUUUGAGCGGUGGGGCUACCCCUGGUCGUUUUACUUUGAGGAAAUGUGAGCGCUCCAAGCAGCCCCUUUUGGGGCCUGAAGCCUGCAGCAAAGAAUAAUGCAACACGGCCUAACAACCGUGGUGUAUUGAUGCACCGCACGGCAAUGGUCAAUAGGGGGGAUCGGGGUCGGCCUCAUGGCAGGGGUAGGGGUGAAAUCCGUUGAUCCUUGCCAGGAGAACAAGAGCGAAAGCAGCCGACAAGUACCCUUUCUUUGAUCAAGAACGAAAGUCUGGGGAUCGAAGAUGAUCAGAUACCAUCGUAGUCCAGACCCUAAAUGCUGCCGACCAUGGAUGGGCGCAAGUCCGUCCCGACCCUGUCCGCACCUUGUGAGAAAUCAUCAAGUGUUUGGGCUCCGGGGGGAGUAUGGUCGCAAGACUGAAACUUAAAGGAAUUGACGGAAGAGCACACAAGGAGUGGAGCCUGCGGCCUAAUUUGACACAACACGGGGAAACUCACGAGUGCAAGAGAGGGUCAUGAUGCCCGGCACGAAUUGCCUGGCAGAUUCUCUCAGUGGUGGUGCAUGGUCGUUCUUAGUUCGUGGAGUGAUUUGUCUGGUCUAUUCCGCUAACGAGCGAGAACCCGCCUUAUGGAUGUUGCCUGCUUCGUCGCGGGGCUUGCUGCGGCUGGGCUGCUUCUAUUGGUCCCGCAAGGGAUCUCUAAGGGGCGGACUAGCGGGCGUCCCAAUUAUAGACGAGGUUAGGGUCCUGCAGGGUGCCCCGGCGAUAAGCCGGGGAUCUGGGUCAAUAACAGGUCAGUGAUGCCCUUAGAUGCACUCGGCUGCACGCGCGCUACAAUGGGAGGGCCAACGGGUCUUCAGCCCCUACGCGGGCGCGGAGAAUCCUAGUAACCCCGCCCACAUCCGGGAUCGCAGCAUGUAAUAUGCGGCGUGAACAUGGAAUUUCUAGUAGGCACGGUUCACCAGACCGUGCCGAUUCUGUCCCUGCUCUUUGUACACACCGCCCGUCGCUCCUACCGAUUGGGUUGCGGGGUGAGAUAUGGGGACCCCAAGAACUCUGUUCUGCUGGAGGGCAACCUCCGGUGGGUAACCACUU
rnacentral:rRNA from 1 species